UACGUAGGGGCCUAGCGUUGUCCGGAUUUAUUGGGCGUAAAGAGCUCGUAGGCGGUUUGUCGCGUCUGCCGUGAAAGUCCGGGGCUCAACUCCGGAUCUGCGGUGGGUACGGGCAGACUAGAGUGAUGUAGGGGAGACUGGAAUUCCUGGUGUAGCGGUGAAAUGCGCAGAUAUCAGGAGGAACACCGAUGGCGAAGGCAGGUCUCUGGGCCACUACUGACGCUGAGAAGCGAAAGCAUGGGGAGCGAACAGG
rnacentral:rRNA from 1 species